GGGGGGGGGGGGGGGUUUACUUUGUUAUUUUUUUAAUAAGCCUUAUCAUACUUAAACAAAAAGGGAAUUGCAAAACUUGGCUUUAGAGAAGGUCUUCUGAUUUCUACUCUUAUAUAUUCCCUUGCGAAUUGUGUCAGAAAAACCGAACUCUUCCAUUUUCUAUAUUAAAAAGUUACAAUAUAAACAACAUAAGAGCAAACUAGCAAAAAAUUACCCUUUAUGUGUGCACUGGGAGUUUAUUCUCUUUCAGUUUCUAGUGUAUUGGAGAGACCUUCCUAAAAAUACAGCUUUCAGUAACAGGAAUCUGAAAUGUUAAAACUUUCAACUAAAGACAUUCAGGUGAUUGGGAUAGUCUGUGUAUCUCCAGUUUAAGGAGAGGAAUAAGCAUCAGUUUCCUGGCGUUUAGAAACUAUUUUCAAAUUCUCAUGGAUUUUUUUUAACACUCAAUAGGGUUUUAAGUAAAAUUUUUAAAAGUUAAGUAAAGCAAACCAUGGGAAAAGUUUUCAAGGAUGGACAAGAAAUAACAGUUACUAGAUCAGUUUCAGCUUUGUGUUUGUGCGUGCUUUGUAUGGGAGGGGAGCGUCUGAAACCAAAUUGAAACACAUCCAUUAAAAUGCUGCUGCUGUUCUUUAUUCUUGCACAAUUUUAACAAGUUGAGGUAGUAGCUAAGCUAUUUCAGGCUGUAUUUUAAUGCUGCUAUUUUUCAAUGUAUCAGCUAGGGGCAAAACGCAGCAGUGUGUUGACUGUAUUUGCUGAUGCCCACUGCCUGCCUCGAUUCUGACCUUCAGUUGCUAAUACAAGGCAAUCAGCAUGCACCCUAUGAAGCAAAACUGCAACUUUUUUUGUUGGCCACAAGGUGGUGGAACCACAGAGUAUGUUUAUGGGAAAUGCAGUAUUUGUACAGUUUAUUCAUUUUACCUGUUUAAAAAUCUGUUUUACGGUUGUUUAUGUUAGUUUUCUACGAGUUUAUUUAAGCAAAUGUACUGUUCUUUAAAGCAUAUGUGGAUCUCCAGAUUUGUUUGUCACACUUGUAACACUGGAAAGCAUCACAAUGUGUUCAUCUAUCUUAACGUGCCAUUCUUUCAAGUAUGUAUAAAAUGUAAAUUGACCAACAUGGCUUUUAAAAAUGUUUAAAAUCUGAUGGCAAAAACCCAACCCUCUCUGAUUCCUCACUGGUUAAUUCUUUUGUUUCAGUGCUUGAUCAUCUACUGGGAUAACAUUAUCAGAUGUGGCAUUCUUAUUACGGAAAUUUUAGUAAGAAAUGGGAAAUGUUUUAAGAAAAAAACCCCUACCCUUUCUCUUUUUACUUUAAUUCAAGAAGACAGGGACUUGUAAAAACAGAAGACCAAUACAUUCAUGCUAGAUUUAAGGGAUUUGCUUCUGUUCCUUGAAGAAGAAGAAUCUGAAAGGGCAAUUCCUAAUUAGAUAUGAUCAAAUGAAUCAAAGUCUUGGUGUAGUUAGCAAGUCAGUUGUUUAUGCCCUCUUAAAGUUGUAGUCCAGGUGUGUUUUUCUUUGUAAACUUUUGCUAACUUUGUCAUAGUACUGUUACCAGAAAACUAAAUCUGAUACCAUUCACUUCCUUUAACAUAAGGUAUGUGCAGCUGAGAUACUGGAGCCUUACAUUAGUAUUAGCAGUUGUCCAUUCUGAACUAGAAUGAAAUGAAGGCUCAUAUGUAUUCUAUGAAUUUUCUCACUGAAUAGAAUUAAAUACAUGGAUUGCCCUUAAAAUCAACAGAAGCUCUAAUGGAAGCACUUACAGUUAAUGAUUAUUCCUUAAGAAGGUUUUAGGCAAUAAAAGUAACACAAAUGGAAAAGAGAAGCAUAGUUAGGAAUCACUCAGAUCACAUCAUCUGGAACCAGGAAGAAGUUCUCACUUCAGGUUCCAGAAGAAGGUUUAUGCCCUAGAUCACCAUGAGCAAAGACUGUCUUGCCGGUGAACGGACAUUAAUACAGGAACGCCAGGAAUUUAGCUACUGUAGCUUCCCAGUUCUGAUGUGCUGCAACCCCUCUUUCUUGCCACUGAAAAUUUACAGUUCAGUGCUAAGAAAGCAAAGCUUAUCACUUGCUCUCUACCUCUUCCCCCCCCCCGCCCCCCACGGCAAUAGAUAGGGAGGAGCAAUAGAGUCUGUAUAUUGCUGUAGGUGAAAUGCCACCACAAAGAAGGAAAAAGCUAGUAGAACCAGAAAGUUAGACUACUGUUUAAGCUAAAAGUCUGUUUCAGGGCUGCAAGGAUAAAAUGCCACAAUGUGCUAUAAUGAUGAAAUGGUUGAAACAGGACCAAAGCGAACUUGAGUGUACAUGUUAUCUUCAUGCUUCUCCUUCCAUGACCUUUUUAGAUGGUCUAAAGAUUUAGGCCUUCCAGGUCAAGCAAAUACUUAAAUGCUAUUGCCAAGGAUUGAAAAUUAUUAUAUGACCUAGUUUGCCUCCACUGUUGAUUCUCUUUGUGUUACCGUCAUACAGUGGAGUUGCUGGAGACCAUUGUAAAAACAUGCAGGUGAACCAUGUGAAUAUUUUCCAUGUCAUUUACUUCCAUCGUUCCAUCUUGCAGUAAGAAAGACCCCUCCUUUUCCAACAGAAGCCACUUCACAUCAUUCUGCACUGUAGAAACAACCACACCGGGAGGUUCAGUUUGUAGCAGAGCUAUCCCUGGAGAUAACUAAAAUAUCUCCAGUAUUCUGGUGCAGAAUGGACCAGGUACUGCUAAAGCUCUGGGCUUGUGUAGGCCUGUUUUACACGUUAAGUAAGAUUCUAUUAUUUACACCUGUUCAAGCACAUUUGGGAAUUAAUAUGAUUACAGAGUCCCUGAGCCUAGCAGAAGUGUUUGCUCUACUGCUUUGUCCUAAUUGCAGUCAUGUUCAAAUGCUCUUGUCAAAAAUGGUUCAUCAGAAUGGAGAAAACUUUUUUUUAUUUUCCACUAGAGCUUUUGUUUGUGUAACUGUUGCAGUCUUUUUUUCCCUGGUGGUAGGAUCUUCUGAGAACCCAAAACAUUCUGCAGAUGAACCAUUUCUCUGAUCUGCAGAAUGAUUUGUAUGACAAGGCCGUGUUAUAUCCCUGUGGAUGUAUGGAAGGGCAGGCUUGUGUACAAAACAGCUUCCUGCUUGGAAGGGGAAUACAGCAGCUUUCUGCAGCUGCCCCCCAAAGAGGAGCACAACGGGUAGAGCCCACCAGUGAGCAGAUGGCCUCGGUCCUUAGAUGCUCACUUCUCCCCUGGGGCAGUCUGAGCGAGGUCCAGAAGGCAGUUACGGGAAAAGACUCGUCCGGUUCCUUCUUAUUGUGCCUAACUGAAUGAUCAAAUGCCAAUCUACAUACAGUAGCUCAAAUUUCCUCCACUUUAGUCCCAUUUUGGGAGAAACUGGGACUACACUAACUCCAGGUAUUACACAAAUAGUCAGCUGAAAACUGAUCCGUAUCUAAAAACUGUUUCAAAUAUAAUGUAAAAGCUGCCAUAGCAAAAGAACAUUUCUUCACAACAGCCUCUUCUAAUCCCUUCUUUACUGCUUCUCACAGCCUAAGAGAAAUUGUGUUUUGGGCUUCACAGUUACACAUGAAAACUUGCAGAAGCCACUCAGUAAUGGUAAUAUAUUUGGAAUCCUGGAUAAAAUUUACCUAUGCAGGCACAGAUGUUUCAGGAGAUGGGAUAUCAGUACUAACCAAGGCAGCAAAAAGAGGGUAAGGAAUUGUUGUGUUGGAGAAGCACCACAACGAAACAGUGAAUUUUAAAAUUAUCUCACAGCAGGACACUGUGAAAUGUCCUUUCUGUGUCUGUCCAUCAAAAAACCCAAACAACUAAGCCUUCUCUUCCCUAUGUAAGUUGUGCAAAUUCCAAGGAAAGGAGUUAAGACUAUUUAUUUAAAUAUAAAUACAAUUAAAUUAUGUAAUUAGUGCUAAAUUAAAAGGUGUAGAAGACAAACAACUUGUUAUUGUUUGGAUAAUUUGGGGUUUCAUCACAGUUAAUAUUGUUGGCAUUGUUUUAACACUACCAUGUUAGAGAGUCAGUUUUUGACAUUUUAUACUGCUGUUGCUAGUGCUUCAGUAUCUCAUAGUGCUCUGUUUUGGGGAAAGAAAACCUAAUGCUAAUAGUUUAAUACUGAAAGGUGUUGAAAUUGUACUGCUAAACAUCUCUCAGUUUAGGCCCAAAGAGAGGGAAAAAGGAAAGGGAAAAAGGGGGGGAAAAUAUUGUCAUUCUGGAUAGUGGGGUUUUUUUAAUUUUCUGAGAAAAGUGGUAUGAAAAAGGGAUCUAAAAACUGUAUGUGGGGAAAAAAAAAAGGCAUUUGUAGCCUUUCUUUGUACACAAUGUUAAAUAAAAUCUCCUGUAUCUA